rnacentral:rRNA from 1 species
GACGAACGCUGGCGGCGUGCUUAACACAUGCAAGCCGAACGGUAAGGCCCUUCGGGGUACACGAGUGGCGAACGGGUGAGUAACACGUGGGUGAUCUGCCCUGCACUUCGGGAUAAGCCUGGGAAACUGGGUCUAAUACCGGAUAGGACCACUGCCUGCAUGGGUGGUGGUGGAAAGCUUUUGCGGUGUGGGAUGGGCCCGCGGCCUAUCAGCUUGUUGGUGGGGUGAUGGCCUACCAAGGCGACGACGGGUAGCCGGCCUGAGAGGGUGACCGGCCACACUGGGACUGAGAUACUGCCCAGACUCCUACGGGAGGCAGCAGUGGGGAAUAUUGCACAAUGGGCGCAAGCCUGAUGCAGCGACGCCGCGUGAGGGAUGACGGCCUUCGGGUUGUAAACCUCUUUCAGCACCGACGAAGCGCAAGUGACGGUAGGUGCAGAAGAAGGACCGGCCAACUACGUGCCAGUCGCCGCGGUAA